AUGUUGGGUUAAGUCCCGCAACGAGCGCAACCCUCGUCCUUAGUUGCCAUCAUUAAGUUGGGCACUUUAAGGAAACUGCCGGUGAUAAGCCGGAGGAAGGUGGGGAUGACGUCAAGUCCUCAUGGCCCUUACAGGCUGGGCUACACACGUGCUACAAUGGACGGUACAGAGGGUAGCGAUAUCGCGAGAUGGAGCCAAUCCCAAAAAGCCGUUCCCAGUUCGGAUUGCAGUCUGCAACUCGACUGCAUGAAGUUGGAAUCGCUAGUAAUCGCUGAUCAGCAGGCAGCGGUCGAAUACGUUCCCGGGCCUU
rnacentral:rRNA from 1 species